UUCCCAAGUACCGCGGGACACGAGAAAUCUUGCGGGAAUCUAGCAGGACCAUCUGCUAAGGCUAAAUAUCCGACGACUACCGAUAGUGAACCAGUACCGUGAGGGAAAGGUGAAAAGCACCCCUGAAGGGGAGUGAAAUAGUACCUGAAACCAUACGCUUACAAGCAGUCGGAGGUUGACUUCGGUCGACUGACGGCGUGCCUUUUGCAUAAUGAGCCGGUGAGUUAUCGUAUGCAGCAAGGUUAAGUGUCGUAGGCACGGAGCCGUAGCGAAAGCGAGUCUUAAUAGGGCGACAUAGUUGCAUGCGGUAGACCCGAAGCUGAGUGAUCUUGCCAUGACCAGGAGGAAGCGUCAGUAACAUGACGUGGAAGUCCGAACCAGGGUCGGUUGAAAACGGCUUGGAUGAGUUGUGGCAAGGGGUGAAAGGCCAAUCAAACUCAGUGAUAGCUGGUUCUCCCCGAAAUAGUUUUAGGACUAGCCUCGUGAAUGUAUGACGGAGGUAGAGCACUGAAUGGGUUAGGGGCCCCACAAGGUUUACCGACCCCAAUCAAACUCCGAAUGCCGUUUAUAUGAAUCACGGGAGUCAGGCUAUGGGUGAUAAGGUCCAUGGCCGAGAGGGAAAGAGCCCAGAUCAACAGCUAAGGUCCCUAAAUCAAGACUAAGUGGUGGAAGGAUGUCGAACUGCCCAGACAGCUAGGAGGUUGGCUUAGAAGCAGCCACCCUUUAAAGAAAGCGUAACAGCUCACUAGUUAAGUGGUUUGGCGCCGAAAAUAAUCGGGACUCAAGUCUUGUACCGAAGCUUUGGAUUUGUGCCUUCGGGCACAUCUGGUAGGGGAGCAUUCCGUAGGUGGAUGAAGCCGUUUCGUGAGAAAUGGUGGACAUAUCGGAAGGGCUUAUGCCGGCAUGAGUAGCGAUAAAACAGGUGAGAAACCUGUUCACCGAAAACCUAAGGUUUCCUGAGGAAGGCUAAUCCGCUCAGGGUAAGUCGGCCCCUAAGUCGAGGCCGAAAGGCGUAGACGAUGGGAAUCCGGUCAAAAUUCCGGAACCUGGUUUGUUUCGUUUGUACGAUGGGGUGACGCAGAAGUGAAAGCAGAGCCACCUGAUGGAUGGUGGUCCAAACAAGUAGGCGUGAAGCUUAGGUAAAUCCGGGCUUCUUAUACGCCGAGAUGUGACGGAGGAACGACCCUUCGGGGGAGCCAAUUCUGCCUAAUCAUGCUGCCAAGAAAAACCUCUAAGGAGAGACAGGCCAGACCGUACCGCAAACCAACACAGGUAGGUGAGGAGAGUAUCCUAAGGUGCUCGAGAGAACCCUGGUAAAGGAACUCGGCAAAAUGGCUCCGUAACUUCGGGAGAAGGAGCGCCAUAAGUAGGUGAAGCGACUUGCUCGUGAAGCCAAACAUGGCCGCAGUGAAAAGGCGUUGGCGACUGUUUACUAAAAACACAGGGCUCUGCGAAAUCGUAAGAUGACGUAUAGGGUCUGACACCUGCCCGGUGCCGAUCUGUUAAGUGGAGGGGUUAGACUUCGGUCGAAGCUCUGAAAUGAAGCCUCGGUAAACGGCGGCCGUAACUAUAACGGUCCUAAGGUAGCGAAAUUCCUUGUCGGGUAAGU
rnacentral:rRNA from 1 species